rnacentral:rRNA from 1 species
GCACGUUAUGGUGGGCACUCUAAGGAGACUGCCGGUGACAACCGGAGGAAGGUGGGGAUGACGUCAAGUCAUCAUGGCCCUUACGGCCUGGGCUACACACGUGCUACAAUGGUUGGUACAAAGGGUUGCCAAGCCGCGAGGUGGAGCUAAUCCCAUAAAACCGAUCGUAGUCCGGAUCGCAGUCUGCAACUCGACUGCGUGAAGUCGGAAUCGCUAGUAAUCGUGAAUCAGAAUGUCACGGUGAAUACGUUCCCGGGCCUU